CUAGAUAAUAAAGAUAAGAAGAACUCAACUCAGUUCUACACAUAUCCAUCUGGCUACUGUCAGCCUCCUCUGGGAUACUUUGGAGUUUUAAGAAGGAUGGUGCUGAUUUAAGAGCUUUUCCAGGUUUGGAUGAAGAUGACGCUAAGACGAUAGUGAGCCACACGCAGCCCCUGUUGGACAAAGACGGGCCUGUUCUGCACCGCCCAGGAGAUCCUGACACAACCCCAGCUGGAACAGGCGGCAGGUUGACAUGGGCCGGCGUCCAGCUCACCUUCUGUGUCCCAGGAUGCGUGCCGCGUUUUUCGCCAAGGGGCGUUACAAUUGAUACCCACAUCGUACACCAUCAACACUCCUAACAUGGGCCACCCCCCGAGCUAAAGGCCACCCAACCAACUCUGGAUACACAGGAAUCUUUGGUGCUUCUCUGGUCCAAGAAAUGAGCCACAUGCAGUGCUUCAAGAAAAACCCAGAACACGACCAAGGAGGAGGGAAAAUGUCUUGAAACUAAGGCGGAAGGUUGGCCAGAGUAAACUGUGCCUGGAAGCGUGUUUCCAUGUCUACACCCAUGUCUUCCUGUGUGUCAUGUAUGUCCCUAACACAGCAAACGGAGGUGGAAAACGUGCUUACAGGAAGACUUAAAAGGAAAAAAAAAAACAGUGAACACAACAAAGUCCUGCUGAACUCACCAUGGAAGACACAAACCACUUCAUAAUUUUCUAUAGAGUCAUCCAAACUAAUAACUCCUUGUGGAAAUAUUCCCUUGACAUUACAUGAGUGACUGUCUUAUAAAUAUGUUCCACAUAUGUUCCACUUUCCCUUCUCAAAGGAUCAACAUAAGUGAUAAGCUUGAGGACAAAACAGCUGCCAACAUGUUUGAUCAUAUAACCUCAGUGGUGCAGCCUCCAAAAGUAUUGUGGGUGUUGCAUUAUCGCUUAAAUUGAAGAAAUCAAGUCAGCUACAUUUAAUGCUUAUCCAGAGGGAUUUCUGUCAAGUCAACGAGUUGAUGCAAUCAGCUGGUUUUCCUUAGAAAACUUUGCCCCUAUCUGACUACAUGAUGUGCUUGAAUUAUCUCUGUAAAGUACCUUGAGAUUUGAUGUGUUGUGAA